rnacentral:tRNA from 1 species
GCCCCGAUAGCUCAGGUGGUAGAGCGCGUCCUUGGUAAGGACGAGGUCGGCGGUUCAAAUCCGCCUCGGGGCU